GGGAUGAAAAUCAUGGAGGGCUGUCGGUGCUAGUGCAGCGGUGACUGUCAGUGUUAACUUGGUCUCAUCGUGGGGGGCCGAUGAAGCUGUUCUUACAGAGGAAUUGUUGUUCUGGAGCCGUAGCCGGAGGAGAAACUGCAUCUGAGCAGCUUGGACAUCGUUCUAAGCAGACAUGAACAGUCCUCACUUUCUGCCUUCUGCAUAACUACAGUGCAUGACUUUUAGCGUCACAUCUGAAGCCUAAGUACCACAGAGAGAGAGGUCAAGGUCCCCGUUGUGAGAUGGAAAGCACACAAGAGCCGUGAGACAGCAAGCGUUGUUGAUGCCAGGCUAUGGCGA